AAUACUUGUUGAAAGAGAGAAACUAUGAUCCUUAGGAAAGCUCAGAGUCUUGUAGUAUAAAUAAUCUAAACAUUCUUUGUUUGUGUAUGUGUAUGUGUGUGUAUGUGUGUGUGUGUGUGGGGGGACUGAAACCAGGGGCACUUUACUA
rnacentral:sRNA from 1 species